CCAGAAUUGACAGCGUUUGAUUCUUUCCUGAAAACAAGUCAUAGGAAGACACAACAGUAAAAUCCCAGGGGUGUCCAAGGUUUAAUUCAGUCUCAGGUACAACUUCUGUAAAGCUCUGCCCCCUGACUCCAAGCUCCUCAGCAUCCACCAGUGGCCAUGGGCUAGAAAAUCCAGAGGACAAGACAAGAAGUCCCUCACCUGCAUGCUGCUGACCAGCAGGGCUCUCCAGCAAGGAGGAAGCAAGGAUCUGACCCCUUUCCUUAGAGACAUUGAUAAUAACUUCCUGGAAAGGCCUUUUAUUCCAGGUUUGCAAACCAGCUUUGAGUAUUAUGGCGUAUUUCCAGUAUCGCAUCACUGAUGGGAUCAGGUCAUGGGGGGAAAAUGGAAUAAUUAAGCUUUUUUUUCCCUUGUCAAAGCAACGGUUCACAUGGAAAUGUCUACGGUCACCGGAAUAAACAUUUC
ensembl:lncRNA